UGAAACACUCUUGUACAGGAUCAACAGUCUGGAAAAGAAGAAGAAAUCCAUUGUCAACUUUCUGAGCCAACACAAGGGAUGAUACUCUCCAGAGCUACGUUUGAAAUACCAUUUCAGCUUCAUUCAGUCCUUUGUUGAUAAAGAAAAAAAAUAUUGAGGCUACCCACAUCAGAACUUUGUUUUACCAUCUUCCUUCUUAGCCAGUAACAAGAAUCUUUUUGCAAGAUUCUUGAAGAGCUGAUCACUGGACAUCGAAGUAAUCCAAGAAAUUCUUGGAGAAGGUAUAAUAAAGAUCUCAUCAUGUAAAUGCCCUCCAAAGGGUUAAUGACGGCAAACGAUCUAUCUGUAUCCUGGGCUGUGUGCCAUUCCAGGAAAAGGCAAAGUCUCAGAUAACAGACCAGAAGGAUUAGGAUUAGUUAGAGUUGCCGUGUACGGUCCAUCAAACAAACAAUCUGAGCAUGACUUUCACCCUCAGAUUUCAGUUACAGGGAUCAAAAUACAAGAACCGUGUCCCAGUGUGGUAUUUUUGGCUGCCUGCAUCUGUGUGCCCUCAAGCCAUCGUGGCACAAACGCAAGUUGCCUCCCCUUCUGCUCAGUAGCGCUCCCUCUGCUUUUGUCUGAAAGAAUUAAAAUCGGUUACACCCAUCUGCUGAUGGUGGUGACGGACCUAACCCAGUUCUUGGGGGCAGCCUGAGCUGCGGGAGCUAGACGGUGACUCAGAGAGGCAGCCAGCGGGGCUCAGGGGAUCAUCUAGACAACUGAUAGAUACUAAAAGCAGAUGUGACCUCAUUCAUAUUCACAAGUCCCUGUUGUCCCCAAGGCAAAAAGCAGCGAGCUUGCUCCUCUUCACCCUCGCAGGAACCCUUCAAGCUGCCUUUUCUUUCCAGCGACAUUCACCUAUAUUGGAGUACAUCGUUAAUGGAGGGGCCAUGGGGAUUUGGAGGGGCUCGGGCAGAGACAAAGGCAUUAUAUCUGGAUGACUCAAGCUGCACAGACUUGGAGGGACGAGCCUGCCCUGCCUGUCCUCUCUCAGGAAAGCCUCCCUACUCCCUGAACCCCCUGGGAAAGUACCUCGUGAGAGUUCCUGGUUCUCCACUCUGAAGCUGCAUUGGUAGGCUGGGGCUGGGCAGGCAUUGCCUGGUAAAGGGCAAGUCUGCUUGCUCGAUCUGUAGAGAAUGCAGAGCUCGGGUAUGAUGUACAGCAGCAGGAAGACCCAUGCAUUGGUGACCAGGGCAAUACAGAUGACAGGGUCAUCCCACUGGGGCUGCCGCUGGAACUGUGGGUUGCCUCUCAGGAGCAUGGAGAUCCACACCACCCAGAUAAUGAUGGAGAUGAGCACAGUGACGAAGAUGAGCCUUCCAUGUUGCUUCCAGUUCUCACAUGGGCCACAGAAAGUGGCUUUGGAGACGAAGAAUGUGAGGGCCAUCAGGAAGAGGACAUAGACCAGGAGCACAACAAAGUCCACGUUGAGCUGACAGGGUGUCAUAUGCAUGAACAUCAUACCCCUGGUCAUCAUGAGAGUCACAUACUCAGUGGCAAUGAUUAUCUGCAGCAAGCUGACACCAAUAGCAAUGCACAGAAUUGUUGUCCAAGAGAAGGAGACUCUGCCCCGGACCAGCUUCACCAGGUUGGAGGCAUGAGCCAAGAGGCAUGAGAAACAGAGAGCAAAGAGAACCCCAAAGAGAAAGUAGCGUACAGGGGCAGUUUGCUGAUUGAACUGAGUGAUGAAGGCAAACGUGAGGCUAAAGAGUCCCAACACACCCAGGAGGAAGAGGAACUGAGUGGGAAGGACAUUCCACUGGCUGCAGUCUUGAACCCUUCGCAUGAGGAAGAGAAACGCCAAGAGUAGGAUAAUCGUAACUACUAUGCCAAUUAUUGCCAGGGACUCUAGAACAGUGCUCCAUGGCCCCUCGUUGUCACAGAGGAAAUAAUAGUCCUCAGUGGACUUGACGCAGUCCUCAUACAUGGUGACUUGUAGGCGGACCUCACGAGAAUGGACUUCUGUUUCCCUGCGGAAGAAAGAUGAGACAAAUUUCUGACUACAUCCGCCCAUAAGAGCGCCCAUCGGGUAGUCCUAUUUGGGCACUAUAAGGUCUCUCAUUCCCAAAAGAAGACACCUGGACAUACUGGAUACAACGUCCCCAAACUAUCAAACCCUGAAAUCUCGCCUGGCUCCAUUCUGCUGGGAAAAGCAGAACAAUGUCUACUUCCCGAUGCUUCAUCCAUUUUCACGUCAGUUUCCACCAAGCCUUUUUGAAACCCGAGGCAGGAUCAUUUUCACAAAAUAGGGUAUGUGACAAAGGUUGCAUGGUUGAUGAGAUUCCAGUUAGGUCGGACUCCAGAAUGAGCACUGUCAACGUUAAUGGAUCAUCGGAUCAUUCGAGACACUGAUGCACUGCUUGAGGGAGACAGGCAGAUCAUUCUUCCUAGUAAUUCUAAUGGCCGUUCCUUCUUUUAACGUAAGGCAAUCCAACAGAACAUGUUAUUGCUAAAUACCUACUAUUUGUUCAUCAAAGACUUAUGCAAAAUGGUCCCUGCUUCAACUACCUUUUGGGACCACUGAGCACCAACAUCUAUGUCGUCACUGAGGCUGCCCAGGAAAAAAAAAUUCCACACAUUCUUUAGGAAAAAAGUACUUGGCAAUUGGAUACUUCUAGCUCUAUUCCCCUUCAGUUAUUCCCAAGCCAGAUGGCUGGAGCAAUCCUGGUUUAUAGCUAAGGACAUGGCCCCUUCGUUCCCACUUACCUUCUCUGUGUCCACGCUGGAAGCUGAGGUGGUAGUGGCUGCGAGGUUGUAACUGCCAAUGAGUAAGAAGGAGACAAUCGCAGCUUCUUUAAUCUCUCCCCAAAUGGGCGGAAGGCCCUCACUCAGGUUCCUGCAGUGCCUAUAAAAAGAACCGGAAGGACACACCUAUUCCAGUUUCACGGCAACUUUUCUCCAGAGCUUUCUUUGGUUCCAAGCUUGGUACCAAGCUGGAUGACAGGGAGACGGGACACCCCUUCACCCUCACUUUCCGGCUGUCUCUCAGCAGCUGCAUAAAUUGGGAAGCACAUUCUUUCAUUUAUUCAUCCCGCAAUCAGACACUGAGCCUUUGCUAAGAACUGGUAUUCUGCUGGGAGCUGAGAAUACAAAAACAAUAAGCCUACCUAUCAGCAUUCAAGAAAUCACAUCGAAUUGGUGAGCUAUGCUGACAAAUGUGGAGAUGGAUGCACUCGAAGGUGUAACUUGAAGAAUAAAUGAAUACACCCACCUCUCUUCCUACCGGAAAGAGACUCCAGAAAAGGGCAGGCCUUAUCAAUUACCUAUUAACCCCCCACAAGUGGUUAUUUCAAAGGUCUUAUGUUUUCGCAUCACUGAGAGGGGGUCUGUUCAGUGUAGGUCUUAGCAAUGGACCCAUUUCUUAGUUCCACAUGCCUGCAGGCCACCUUUUGAAAGGAGAUGGGAUGCAUACAAAAGUUAAGUCUGGGCUGGAAUCGAACACUUGGGAGUCACUGGCACAUGGAUGGUCACAGAACCCAGGCACGUGAUCUGUGACAUCAUGGAUGGGCUCCCUUGGGAGGGUGUGCAGAGCAACUGAUGUGGCAGAAAGAGGGUAGAGUAUUACCCGACUCUACCCCCCCCCCCCCCGAGAAGCACAGCAACCUAAGGGCAGGGUGGGGAGUGAAGGCAGUACGGAGUAGUCUGGGGUAGGUGCGCCUCGAGAAUGACAGAUCACAGGUGUCAAAGGAGGAAUGCAAGGGAGAAGGUGGUGUCUCUAUCAAAUGGUACAGAGGAGCCAUUUACCCUGAUAAAGACCAAAAUGUGCCUGCUGGACUUUGUGAAGGAGGAUCACUUUCAGAGAACGUAAAUGUCUAUCAACAGAGUGAACGAGAGGCAAGGAAAUGAAUACUCUGUGUGUAAUUUGUUUUUAUUUUAAUUAAUUAAUUUUCAUAGACAGAGAAUGUGAAUGGAGGAAAGACAGAGAGAGACACAGAAUCCAAAGCAGGC